UACGAAGGGGGCUAGCGUUGCUCGGAAUUACUGGGCGUAAAGCGUGCGUAGGUGGUCUUUUAAGUCCGUUGUGAAAGCCCUGGGCUCAACCUGGGAAUGGCAGUGGAUACUGGAAGGCUGGAGUACGGUAGAGGAGGGUGGAAUUCCCGGUGUAGCGGUGAAAUGCGUAGAGAUCGGGAGGAACAUCAGUGGCGAAGGCGGCCCUCUGGACCAGUACUGACGCUGAGGCACGAAAGCGUGGGGAGCAAACAGG
rnacentral:rRNA from 1 species